rnacentral:rRNA from 2 species
GAUGAACGCUGGCGGCGUGCCUAAUACAUGCAAGUCGAACGAGUUCUGAUUAUUGAAAGGUGCUUGCAUCUUGAUUUAAUUUUGAACGAGUGGCGGACGGGUGAGUAACACGUGGGUAACCUGCCCUUAAGUGGGGGAUAACAUUUGGAAACAGAUGCUAAUACCGCAUAAAUCCAAGAACCGCAUGGUUCUUGGCUGAAAGAUGGCGNAAGCUAUCGCUUUUGGAUGGACCCGCGGCGUAUUAGCUAGUUGGUGAGGUAACGGCUCACCAAGGCAAUGAUACGUAGCCGAACUGAGAGGUUGAUCGGCCACAUUGGGACUGAGACACGGCCCAAACUCCUACGGGAGGCAGCAGUAGGGAAUCUUCCACAAUGGACGCAAGUCUGAUGGAGCAACGCCGCGUGAGUGAAGAAGGCUUUCGGGUCGUAAAACUCUGUUGUUGGAGAAGAAUGGUCGGCAGAGUAACUGUUGUCGGCGUGACGGUAUCCAACCAGAAAGCCACGGCUAACUACGUGCCAGCAGCCGCGGUAAUACGUAGGUGGCAAGCGUUAUCCGGAUUUAUUGGGCGUAAAGCGAGCGCAGGCGGUUUUUUAAGUCUGAUGUGAAAGCCCUCGGCUUAACCGAGGAAGUGCAUCGGAAACUGGGAAACUUGAGUGCAGAAGAGGACAGUGGAACUCCAUGUGUAGCGGUGAAAUGCGUAGAUAUAUGGAAGAACACCAGUGGCGAAGGCGGCUGUCUGGUCUGUAACUGACGCUGAGGCUCGAAAGCAUGGGUAGCGAACAGGAUUAGAUACCCUGGUAGUCCAUGCCGUAAACGAUGAAUGCUAGGUGUUGGAGGGUUUCCGCCCUUCAGUGCCGCAGCUAACGCAUUAAGCAUUCCGCCUGGGGAGUACGACCGCAAGGUUGAAACUCAAAGGAAUUGACGGGGGCCCGCACAAGCGGUGGAGCAUGUGGUUUAAUUCGAAGCAACGCGAAGAACCUUACCAGGUCUUGACAUCUUUUGAUCACCUGAGAGAUCAGGUUUCCCCUUCGGGGGCAAAAUGACAGGUGGUGCAUGGUUGUCGUCAGCUCGUGUCGUGAGAUGUUGGGUUAAGUCCCGCAACGAGCGCAACCCUUAUGACUAGUUGCCAGCAUUUAGUUGGGCACUCUAGUAAGACUGCCGGUGACAAACCGGAGGAAGGUGGGGAUGACGUCAAAUCAUCAUGCCCCUUAUGACCUGGGCUACACACGUGCUACAAUGGAUGGUACAACGAGUUGCGAGACCGCGAGGUCAAGCUAAUCUCUUAAAGCCAUUCUCAGUUCGGACUGUAGGCUGCAACUCGCCUACACGAAGUCGGAAUCGCUAGUAAUCGCGGAUCAGCACGCCGCGGUGAAUACGUUCCCGGGCCUUGUACACACCGCCCGUCACACCAUGAGAGUUUGUAACACCCGAAGCCGGUGGCGUAACCCUUUUAGGGAGCGAGCCGUCUAAGGUGGGACAAAUGAUUAGGGUGAAG